AUUGAACGCUGGCGGCAGGCCUAACACAUGCAAGUCGAGCGGAUGAAGGGAGCUUUCUCCUGUAUUCAGCGGCGGACGGGUGAGUAAUGCCUAGGAAUCUGCCUGGUAGUGGGGGAUAACGUCCGGACACGGGCGCUAAUCCCGCAUACGUCCUGAGGUAGAAAGUGGUGGUUCUUCGGACCUCACGCUAUCAGAUGAGCCUAGGUCGGAUUAGCUAGUUGGUGGGGUAAAGGCCUACCAAGGCGACGAUCCGUAACUGGUCUGAGAGGAUGAUCAGUCACACUGGAACUGAGACACGGUCCAGACUCCUACGGGAGGCAGCAGUGGGGAAUAUUGGACAAUGGGCGAAAGCCUGAUCCAGCCAUGCCGCGUGUGUGAAGAAGGUCUUCGGAUUGUAAAGCACUUUAAGUUGGGAGGAAGGGCAGUAAGUUAAUACCUUGCUGUUUUGACGUUACCAACAGAAUAAGCACCGGCUAACUUCGUG
rnacentral:rRNA from 1 species